rnacentral:pre_miRNA from 1 species
GAUUUCAAUUGAAAAAGCCAUCAACAUCAAAGUUGUAUAACUCAUCAAUAUCUAUAACUUUUAUUUGGGUCAUUUCUUUAUCCGACGAAGUGAUUUGUAACAUUGUUCACAAAAUCUACAUAUCUCUUUAAUUAUUUAUAAACUAUAUAAGAGAUAUGUACAUUUUGUGAAACAUGUUACAAAUCACUUCGUCGGAUAAAGAAAUGACUCAAAUAAAAGUUAUAGAUCUUGAUGAGUUAUACAACUUUGUUGGUAAUGACUUUUUCAGUUGGAAUC